rnacentral:rRNA from 1 species
AAUCAACGCUGGCGGCGUGCCUAACACAUGCAAGUCGAACGCGAAAGUGGAGCAAUCCAUGAGUAGAGUGGCAAACGGGUGAGUAACGCGUGGGCGACCUACCUUCGAGUGGGGGAUAACCUUCCGAAAGGAGGGCUAAUACCGCAUGACAUCCCGUGUUUGGAUACACGGACAUCAAAGCCGGGGAUCGCAAGACCUGGCGCUUGGAGAGGGGCCCGCGUCCGAUUAGCUAGCUGGUGGGGUAACGGCUCACCAAGGCUCCGAUCGGUAUCCGGCCUGAGAGGACGACCAGCCACACUGGGACUGAGACACGGCCCAGACUCCUACGGGAGGCAGCAGUGGGGAAUUUUGGACAAUGGGCGCAAGCCUGAUCCAGCAAUGCCGCGUGCAGGAUGAAGGCCUUCGGGUUGUAAACUGUUUUUGUACGGAACGAAACAGCUCUUUCUAAUAAAGAGGGCGAAUGACGGUACCGUAAGAAUAAGCACCGGCUAACUACGUGCCAGCCGCCGCCGUAAGAC